rnacentral:rRNA from 1 species
GGGGAAUAUUGGACAAUGGGCGAAAGCCUGAUCCAGCAAUGCCGCGUGAGUGAUGAAGGCCUUAGGGUUGUAAAGCUCUUUUACCCGGGAAGAUAAUGGCUGUACCGGGAGAAUAAGCCCCGGCUAACUCCGUGCCAGCAGCAGCGGUAAUACGGAGGGGGCUAGCGUUGUUCGGAAUUACUGGGCGUAAAGCGCACGUAGGCGGCUUUGUAAGUUAGAGGUGAAAGCCCGGGGCUCAACCCCGGAACUGCCUUUAAGACUGCAUCGCUUGAACGUCGGAGAGGUGAGUGGAAUUCCGAGUGUAGAGGUGAAAUUCGUAGAUAUUCGGAAGAACACCAGUGGCGAAGGCGGCUCACUGGACGACUGUUGACGCUGAGGUGCGAAAGCGUGGGGAGCAAACA